AACAAAUAAUAUUUUCAAUUUUUAGAUAAAAUGUUUGACUCUUCGUCUUAUUAAAAAAAUUACGAUUAACAUUUUUUGUUUUUAUUAGAUGAUAAAACAUGAAUAGUACUUUAUGUGUACUAAUUUUUUAAAAUUUUUUUGAAAUUUUUUUAAAUAGGACGGAUGGUCAAACACUUGAUAUGAAAACCGAAAGAUUGCCUUAUU
rnacentral:pre_miRNA from 1 species